rfam:TPA: Bos taurus chromosome 21, whole genome shotgun sequence.
UGGCUCAGAUGGUAAAGAGUUUGCCUGCAAUGCAGGAAACCUGGGUUCGAUUCCCAG